GCCGGCUUAGCACAGUGGUAGUGCGUCGCACUUGUAAAGCUUACGUAAUGCGAAGGUCGGUUGUUCGAUCCAGCCAGUCGGCA